AUGGCCUGGAUCCCACUCCUUCUCCUCACCGUCCACUGCGCAGGGUCCCUCUCUGCGCAGCCUGUACUGACUCAGUCACCCUCUACAUCUGUCUCCCCGGGAGCCUCAGCCAAGCUCACCUGCACCCUGAGCAGAGAGCACAGCAACUAUUACAUUGACUGGUAUCAGCAGAGACCAGGGAAAGGCCCUCGAUAUGUGAUGUCAGUGGACAGCAGUGGAAUGAAAGGAUCUAGAGGAGAUGGCAUCCCCGAUCGCUUCUUGGGCUCCGGUUCUGGGGCUGACCGCUACUUGACCAUCACUAGCAUCCAGUCUGAGGAUGAGGCUGACUACAUCUGUGGUGUAAAUUAUCCUAUUGGAAGUACAUAUGGGUAA